ACGAUGAUGGCUGCUGAGGCCAGGGCUGUUUUUCUGGCCCAGAGGCCUUGGUGUCUCCUGCUUGCUGCCAGUGAUGCUCCUUGGUGUUCCCUCAGUGUGUCCCAGCUGGCUGGGAGCACAGGGCAGGAGGAGGCCAGAGGCUCCUGAAAGGCAAGCAGCACCUCGUGUCUUUGGGAUCUGCAGGGGAGGAGCUGUGCCUGCACCGUGGCUCCUUGGCCAGGGGCUGCUCUGACCAGGCACAUGGAAAUGCUUCAGCCUGGACAGAGACCACCAACAGCCCAGAAGGACCCCAAGGAGCAGCUGGCAUUACUGGGAAUGGAGGCAUGGGCCGUUUGCAGAGGGGCUCACACAGCAAUUCCUGGUUCAGAGCUCCUACACAGCUGCCAGCUAUGUCCCAGCCACCCCAAAUCCCUUCCCUCCUCCCCAGCCUGAGGCCAUCAUCCAUCAGCAGCAUUAAAGCCAAGGCAGUCUUCCCCCACAGAUAUUAAAUCCCAGGCAGUAGCCCUCAGAGAUACCUGAAAAUCAGUGGGAUGGAGUUUGGAGUUUUCCAGGGAUCCAGCUGGAAGUGCAGAUGUCAUGGAAAGCUUUCACAGGUGCCCUGGUGACACCAUGUUGGUCCCUUUGCCUUUCUCCAGCCCAAGGCUGCUCCUCUGCUCGCUCUCUCCAGCCUCAUCCCACAGGGAUCCUCUUCUCCCUUCCCUGCUGGCUGCUGCCAAGGAAGGAGGACACAGUGAGUCUCCAGUGCUGACCCCUUAGCCCUGGAGAGUCCUGGCUGUGGGCCCGAGGGGCCUUGGAUUUCCCAGGGAAAUUGUCUGCUGGUGUCCCUUCAAUUACCUCAGCAAUUCCCUCAAAAAUGUCACCUCACUCCCCCUGACAUCCCCUCACGUUUUCCUACACAAACAGUUCUUGUAUCCCCUCUAGAUUACAGCAGGUUUUCAUGAAUGGCAUCAUCUAUGCCCACUGCUCGUUAUUCACCCAACCAAAAUCAAGAGCAAAUGUUGGUUAGGCUUUAAUAACAACUUAAAAUAACCUUAGAGCAAAAUAAAUCACCUUUUUCUUCUG